CGAAAGCGAGUCACCAAUUCCCAACCCCCUCUGGCUGAGGAGAGGGAGGAGGCCUUCCCCGGCAGAAACUGAAGCCCCAAGCAGGGAGGGCUGCCCCUCCUGGAAACUGCGAAAAAAUCCGAAAUCCUGAUCCAUAUGUCCAAACUGUGCCGAGAUUUUAAAGGAAACCAAGUCGUCAACAUAUAAGAACAUCAUAAGACACCUGCUGGUGUUGCUUUUCCUAGGAGAUAAAGUGAGGAUGAAGAAGCAGUCUUUUCCUCUUUGGACCCCAGGAGACCCUGCAUCAUCACAAACAGCCUCUUUCUAAAGACUACCGGAGUGCAUUCUACUGGCAAGUCGGUUCCACAGUGCAAAGGAGGCCAGCAUGGAAGGAUGAAACUCAACACAAAAUAAAAAAUGAACAGCCUUGAGAUAGUUUUAAUGAAAGGAAGCAUGGAAAUUUAAGAAUAAAUAAAUAAAUAAAGCAGCAUAUUAUUGUGCUGCUUUCUCAAACGACCUGUUUCCCAGUCUCUUGAAGGCUGUAUGAUGUGGAAUAAAUGCAAUUGACCAAUCCAUGAUUAAUCAGUGUAACUGCCUUGUUUUGCUAUGCACCAAUAAAUUGCAUGA